GAAGGGCAAUGGAAUAGUUUGUGAGUUUUAUGUUAAUGUGCAUUGAUUUAUAGGAGGUGAGCUGGCAUAUCCCUCCGGCAACUGCAAUGUUUGAAAGCAGUCCAUUGGCCUGUUGGUACAACGUGUCGGAUCGGGGAAUGAAAUGAAAUCUUUACAAGGAAUGAACAUCCCCAGAGCCGAAGGUCAACCUGAGGAAAGUUGCCACCGCUGCUAACUUGCAAGCAAUUUCCACUGUUGCCAUGGAAUAGUUGAACUUCCAAGUGGAGAGAGGAGAAAGGAAGGUGCUGCUCUGAGUCAUUUUUCCAGAACACUCCAAAAGUGGACUUUACAAAGACAGAAGAGAUCCACAUCCCCAGAAAGGACACAAUUUAAUGUGGCAUCACUCAGGAGCCAUCAGUUUCACAUCUCCACAGCUGGCUUUUUUUUGCCACAGGAGGAUUUAUUCUUUGGAUAUAGGUUUGGGAAGCAAUUAGCUUGAUUCUCAUUCUCAGUGGUGCUGCUGCAAAUCAGAAGUGGUAACGCUAUGGAAGUAAACUCCAUGAUUGUGUUUUUUUGUUGUUAUUUUUUUUUCUGGUCGAAAACUGCUGUGAGAUGAGACUCAGGCCUGUGUGCUGUUUCCCAGAUAUACCUGAUGGGAUGGG
rnacentral:lncRNA from 1 species